UCGAUUACGCUGUCCCUGCCUGCUCACUCCAUGCAAGUCGAGCGAACUGAUUAGAAGCUUGCUUCUAUGACGUUAGCGGCGGACGGGUGAGUAACACGUGGGCAACCUGCCUGUAAGACUGGGAUAACUUCGGGAAACCGAAGCUAAUACCGGAUAGGAUCUUCUCCUUCAUGGGAGAUGAUUGAAAGAUGGUUUCGGCUAUCACUUACAGAUGGGCCCGCGGUGCAUUAGCUAGUUGGUGAGGUAACGGCUCACCAAGGCAACGAUGCAUAGCCGACCUGAGAGGGUGAUCUGUCACACUGGGACUGAGACACGGCCCAGACUCCUACGGGAGGCAGCAGUAGGGAAUCUUCCGCAAUGGACGAAAGUCUGACGGAGCAACGCCGCGUGAGUGAUGAAGGCUUUCGGGUCGUAAAACUCUGUUGUUAGGGAAGAACAAGUACGAGAGUAACUGCUUGUACCUUGACGGUACCUAACCAGAAAGCCACGGCUAACUACGUGCCAGCAGCCGCGGUAAUACGUAGGUGGCAAGCGUUAUCCGGAAUUAUUGGGCGUAAAGCGCGCGCAGGCGGUUUCUUAAGUCUGAUGUGAAAGCCCACGGCUCAACCGUGGAGGGUCAUUGGAAACUGGGGAACUUGAGUGCAGAAGAGAAAAGCGGAAUUCCACGUGUAGCGGUGAAAUGCGUAGAGAUGUGGAGGAACACCAGUGGCGAAGGCGGCUUUUUGGUCUGUAACUGACGCUGAGGCGCGAAAGCGUGGGUAGCAACAGGAUAGAUCACCCCCCUGGUAGUCCA
rnacentral:rRNA from 2 species